GGUUGUAUGGUGUAAUGGUCAGCACGUCGGAUUCUGAUUCCGGAGAUAUUGGUUCGAUUCCUAUUACGACCU
rfam:Sclerotinia borealis F-4128 unplaced genomic scaffold scaffold00064, whole genome shotgun sequence.